UACGUAGGGGGCAAGCGUUGUCCGGAUUUACUGGGCGUAAAGAGCGUGUAGGCGGCCACGCAGGUCCGUUGUGAAACUGGAGGCUCAACCUCCAGCUGUCGACGGAAACCGUGUGGCUAGAGUCCGGAAGAGGAGAGUGGAAUUCCUGGUGUAGCGGUGAAAUGCGCAGAUAUCAGGAAGAACACCAAUGGCGAAGGCAGCUCUCUGGGGACGGUACUGACGCUGAGACGCGAAAGCGUGGGGAGCGAACAGG
rnacentral:rRNA from 1 species